rnacentral:lncRNA from 1 species
AGUUGAUAGGGCUGAACCUUUCAGCAAGCUUCAGUCUGCCAUUCACACCCUCUUCUAAGGCACUGAUGCACACGGAAAUAACACUAUGGAGCCUUUAGGACCCUCGCUCUUCAUUUGGAGUGGAGAUUCAGAUACCAAGGCAGGAUUUUUCCUUUCUAGCAGUAUGCACACCCUGGUUUUAAAACACUGCACAAGCGCUUUGAACACUGCAGAGUUAAAACAAAUGGAUUAUAUUUUAUCCUUAACCAGAAACUCAGUCUAAAUCAAGGCAGCUGUUUCUGAAGUGUCCUUUCACCUGGAAUUUCCUCACCAUCUCCUCCUCAUCUUCCAAAGGCUGAGGAAAACUCACAGUAUAUUAUUGAGGUCAAUACAUUUAGAACAAUUUUUCUCAUGAUUUACGUGCUAUAUUUUGCCUCAGUUCUGCUAGAGAGAAUAGCUGCUUUUUUUUUCUGGGCACCAGGCCCAGUUUAUUCUUAAUUUUGUCUACAGAUUGUACAGUUUCCCAGAUACCAUACCAGAGAUGAGCAUUUUAUAAGUUAAUAAAACAAUAAAUAAAACAAAGUAUGUUCUCAUAUCCCCAAGUAAUAACUGGAACUUUAAAAGCCUUGCCUUGUUUUAUAGAAGCUUUUCUAUGUUAUUGUUACUGCAUAAAAAUAUACCAAAUUAUUUCAAAUGCUAAAAAAUAAGGUCAAUAAUUUGUAGGGAAUAGUUCAAAUGUGAUGUUUCAUUUCUUAAACAAACAGUUCCACUGUUGAAGGUGUUACAUAUUAGUUGUAUUACAGUUCACAUAAUUAUACUGUAUUUUUAGAAUAAAAAGAAGAAAAACUUACCGUG